rnacentral:lncRNA from 10 species
AUUAGCCCUAUGCAAUUCUUUUUAUUCACUUCAAGACCAUUUAGUGGAGCAGGAAGAAACUGCAGGCCUUUUGGAGGUAUUUCCUUGUGAUUCUGGUCCAAUCCACCACCACCGUCUCACGCUUAGAACCCUGCAAUCCUUCAGACUGCAUCUUGCUAUGUUGCCCAGGCUGGUCUUGGACUCCUGGCCUCAAGCACUUCACCAGCCUCAGCCUCCUGAAGUUCUGGGAUUACAGGCAUGAACCACCAAGCCCAGAAAAGAAAGUCCGUUUCUUCUAAAAAUGGAGAGGGAUUUAUUGAAUAUAUAUCAUAGCAUGUCAAGACAGCUAAGAUCAUCUUAGUAGUCUCAUUUUUAGAAAAGUCAACUUUAUAUAGGUAUAAUUUACAUAUAAAAUGUAUUCAUUUUAAGUGUAUGUUUUGAUGCAUUGUAAUUAAUGUAAAUGAUCAAAAUGCUUAACAUUUCAAUCCUCUCCAAUACUUUUAUGGACCUUCCUGGAAUUUGCUGUAAGUUCUUUUGUGUCUGGUAUCUUGACUCCACAUAAUAGUCUUGAGAUUCAUCCAU